UACGUAGGGUGCGAGCGUUAAUCGGAAUUACUGGGCGUAAAGCGUGCGCAGGCGGUUUUGUAAGCCAGAUGUGAAAUCCCCGGGCUCAACCUGGGAAUGGCGUUUGGGACUGGGAGUCUGGAGUGCGGCAGAGGAGACUGGAAUUCCUGGUGUAGCAGUGAAAUGCGUAGAUAUCAGGAGGAACACCGAUGGCGAAGGCAGGUCUCUGGGCUGACACUGACGCUCAUGCACGAAAGCGUGGGGAGCAAACAGG
rnacentral:rRNA from 1 species